AGGAUGAACGCUGGCGGCGUGCCUAAUACAUGCAAGUCGAGCGAACGGACGAGAAGCUUGCUUCUCUGAUGUUAGCGGCGGACGGGUGAGUAACACGUGGAUAACCUACCUAUAAGACUGGGAUCCUUCGGGAAACCGGAGCUAAUACCGGAUAAUAUUUUGAACCGCAUGGUUCAAAAGUGAAAGACGGUCUUGCUGUCACUUAUAGAUGGAUCCGCGCUGCAUUAGCUAGUUGGUGAGGUAACGGCUUACCAAGGCAACGAUGCAUAGCCGACCUGAGAGGGUGAUCGGCCACACUGGAACUGAGACACGGUCCAGACUCCUACGGGAGGCAGCAGUAGGGAAUCUUCCGCAAUGGGCGAAAGCCUGACGGAGCAACGCCGCGUCUGUGAUGAAGGUCUUCGGAUCGUAAAACUCUGUUAUUAGGGAAGAACAUAUGUGUAAGUAACUGUGCACAUCUUGACGGUACCUAAUCAGAAAGCCACGGCUAACUACGUGCCAGCAGCCGCGGUAAUACGUAGGUGGCAAGCGUUAUCCGGAAUUAUUGGGCGUAAAGCGC
rnacentral:rRNA from 1 species